rnacentral:snoRNA from 1 species
UAGCCUUUGAAUCUCUCCCAGGCUUCACUGAAUCCUUCCAAGUUCUUCUGUUGAAAGCUGGAAAUCUCAUUUC